rnacentral:misc_RNA from 1 species
UUGAAUAAACCUGACGGGUUGUCGCUGGCUCCUAACGGAGUAUGUGCACACUUGUCAUCUUUAUCCAUCCACCUGUGCACCUUUUGUAGUCUUGGAGGUAAUAAGCACGAAAAUGUCGAGGGAAUACCAAUUCAUUGGUCCCUCGGGAAGUGAGGCCUGCCACGCGAGAGCAUGGCUGACCUUGAAGUUCGUGCAAGUUUCUCUGAGUCUAUGUUCUUUCAUAUAUACCACGUACAAACACUUAGAAUGUAUUUACUAGGCCUCAAUGCCUAUAAAACACAAUA